GCCGUUGGGUAUAUAGAGGACUUGGAGUCUACCUUCCAGUGAGAUCUCCUAGGCCUGAGAGCUGAAUGAGCACUUGGAGGUCAGCUGAUCCCCUGCUUUCACAGAUGAGGAUUUGCUUCUUUACGAUCAUCUGGAACUGAACCUGCAAUAUCUGAGCAUAAGUGUGGACAUGAAGAGCAGAAAUUCAGUGGAAUGCAUGGAUCUGUUCUCCACACAAUGU